rnacentral:rRNA from 1 species
AGAGUUUGAUCCUGGCUCAGGAUGAACGCUAGCGGCAGGCUUAACACAUGCAAGUCGAGGGGCAGCGGAGCGGAGUGCUUGCACUCUGCUGCCGGCGACCGGCGCACGGGUGAGUAACACGUAUGCAACCUGCCCCGGAGCGGGGGAUAACCCGGCGAAAGCCGGACUAAUACCGCGUAUAUAUCCAGGAGGCAUCUUCUGGAUAGGAAAGGACUUCGGUCCGCUCCGGGAUGGGCAUGCGGCGCAUUAGGCAGACGGCGGGGUAACGGCCCACCGUACCGACGAUGCGUAGGGGUUCUGAGAGGAAGGCCCCCCACACUGGUACUGAGACACGGACCAGACUCCUACGGGAGGCAGCAGUGAGGAAUAUUGGUCAAUGGGCGAGAGCCUGAACCAGCCAAGCCGCGUGAGGGAAGAAGGCGCUCAGCGUCGUAAACCUCUUUAGCCGGGGGACAAAACCUCCUCGUGAAGGAGGCUUGAGAGUACCCGGAGAAUAAGCAUCGGCUAACUCCGUGCCAGCAGCCGCGGUAAUACGGAGGAUGCGAGCGUUAUCCGGAUUUAUUGGGUUUAAAGGGUGCGCAGGCGGACAUUCAAGUCUGCGGUCAAAUUCCGGGGCUCAACCCCGGCCAGCCGUGGAAACUGAAUGACUUGAGUGGGCGAGAGGUAUGCGGAAUGCGCGGUGUAGCGGUGAAAUGCUUAGAGAUCGCGCAGAACUCCGAUUGCGAAGGCAGCAUACCGGCGCCUUACUGACGCUCAGGCACGAAAGCGUGGGGAUCGAACAGGAUUAGAUACCCUGGUAGUCCACGCAGUAAACGAUGAAUGCUGGUUGUUCGGGCCGACUGAGGCCUGAGUAACGUAGUGAAAACGUUAAGCAUUCCACCUGGGGAGUACGCCGGCAACGGUGAAACUCAAAGGAAU